GAUGAACGCUGGCGGCGUGCCUAAUACAUGCAAGUCGAGCGAACAGACGAGGAGCUUGCUCCUCUGACGUUAGCGGCGGACGGGUGAGUAACACGUGGAUAACCUACCUAUAAGACUGGGAUAACUUCGGGAAACCGGAGCUAAUACCGGAUAAUAUAUUGAACCGCAUGGUUCAAUAGUGAAAGACGGUUUUGCUGUCACUUAUAGAUGGAUCCGCGCCGCAUUAGCUAGUUGGUAAGGUAACGGCUUACCAAGGCAACGAUGCGUAGCCGACCUGAGAGGGUGAUCGGCCACACUGGAACUGAGACACGGUCCAGACUCCUACGGGAGGCAGAAGUAGGGAAUCUUCCGCAAUGGGCGAAAGACUGAAGGAGAAACGCCGCGUGAGUGAUGAAGGUCUGCGGAUCGUAAAACUCUGUUAUUAGGGAAGAACAAAUGUGUAAGUAACUAUGCACGUCUUGACGGUACCUAAUCAGAAAGCCACGGCUAACUACGUG
rnacentral:rRNA from 1 species